CCCGGGAAACUGGGUCUAAUACCGGAUAUGACCACUCCAGGCAUCUGGUGGUGGUGGAAAGUUUUUCGGUUGGGGAUGGGCUCGCGGCCUAUCAGCUUGUUGGUGGGGUGAUGGCCUACCAAGGCGACGACGGGUAACCGGCCUGAGAGGGCGACCGGUCACACUGGGACUGAGACACGGCCCAGACUCCUACGGGAGGCAGCAGUGGGGAAUAUUGCGCAAUGGGCGGAAGCCUGACGCAGCGACGCCGCGUGGGGGAUGACGGCCUUCGGGUUGUAAACCCCUUUCAGCAGGGACGAAGCUAACGUGACGGUACCUGCAGAAGAAGCGCCGGCUAACUACGUGCCAGCAGCCGCGGUAAUACGUAGGGCGCAAGCGUUGUCCGGAAUUAUUGGGCGUAAAGAGCUCGUAGGCGGUUUGUCGCGUCUGUCGUGAAAGCCCACGGCUUAACCGUGGGUCUGCGGUGGAUACGGGCAGACUAGAGGCAGGUAGGGGAGAAUGGAAUUCCCGGUGUAGCGGUGAAAUGCGCAGAUAUCGGGAGGAACACCGGUGGCGAAGGCGGUUCUCUGGGCCUGUACUGACGCUGAGGAGCGAAAGCGUGGGGAGCGAACAGGAUUAGAUACCCUGGUAGUCCACGCCGUAAACGUUGGGCGCUAGGUGUGGGGUUCUUCCACGGAUUCCGCGCCGUAGCUAACGCAUUAAGCGCCCCGCCUGGGGAGUACGGCCGCAAGGCUAAAACUCAAAGGAAUUGACGGGGGCCCCGCACAAGCGGCGGAGCAUGUUGCUUAAUUCGACGCAACGCGAAGAACCUUACCAAGGCUUGACAUCGCCGGAAAUCCCGCAGAGAUGCGGGGUCCUUUUUGGGCCGGUGACAGGUGGUGCAUGGCUGUCGUCAGCUCGUGUCGUGAGAUGUUGGGUUAAGUCCCGCAACGAGCGCAACCCUCGUUCCAUGUUGCCAGCACGUAGUGGUGGGGACUCAUGGGAGACCGCCGGGGUCAACUCGGAGGAAGGUGGGGAUGACGUCAAGUCAUCAUGCCCCUUAUGUCUUGGGCUGCAAACAUGCUACAAUGGCCGGUACAGAGGGCUGCGAUACCGUGAGGUGGAGCGAAUCCCUUAAAGCCGGUCUCAGUUCGGAUCGAAGUCUGCAACUCGACUUCGUGAAGUCGGAGUCGCUAGUAAUCGCAGAUCAGCAACGCUGCGGUGAAUACGUUCCCGG
rnacentral:rRNA from 1 species